UUGACCUCGGAUCAGGUAGGAAUACCCGCUGAACUUAAGCAUAUAAACG
rnacentral:rRNA from 1 species